UUUAUUGCAAAUGAGUGAAAGAGAAAGUCUGGGUGUGGUUAAUUCACAGUCCAAAUGUAUUUGUGAGAAAAGAGAGAGGAAAAAAAUUGGGAAAUACUCACUAAUGUUUGAAAAUCUGAUAGAUAUAAAAUGAAAUUACAUAACAUAUAACAUCUGAUUAUUUCAUGUAAGUAUUUUUAUGGUUUACUGGCAAUUUGGUUUCAUUUUUCUGUGAAUUUUCUUCCUCACCACCCCUCCCCCUUUUUCUAUAGAGUAGUUUACCUUUUUGCUUGUUGAUGUGUACAUUUAUCCUGGGUACUAAUUUGCUGCUUGUCAUGUGAGUAUCUAUGUCAGGCAGGUACUCAUAAAAAGAUGGAGUGAAAAAUAUGCAAGAGAUUAUGAGAUCUUCACUUUAGGGUGGUGAGUAGUCUUAGAAAGGAAGGAAGAGAAUGAAUUAAGGGAGGAUAUACUUCAACUCUUUAAAAUUUUAUUUGUUAAAAUUUUUGAAGUAAAUAUGGCAAAAUAUGUUUAACCUCACCUGAGAAAUGGGACUUACUAGGAGCUCAGAUUUCUCAAAGAUGAGGGUCUAGGUGGCCCAUUGGGUAAACUCAAAUUGGCAUAGGUUCUAGUCAAGAGUAGGGGAGUCAGGGGAGUGUAGAAUGGGAUGUAGAAGAGAAAGAAAAUAAAAAUCACUUCCAAACUUGAGAUCAGCUGUGACAGCAUGAGCUAAAGUUCAUCCUACUGACCAUCCUCUUUUUACUUUUCUCAGGACAAGAAACCAGUCAAAAUCCUGGAAGAACUGCUCCCAGAUGGGGUUAACUUACUAUGAAGCAUGAUACAAGCAUCACAAGAGGAAAGCAGCUAUCAUGUAAAUCAACAGAAGUUUUACUUUGUGAAAACUUGUUCCCACCUUUAGAAAAUACAACACUAACAGCAAUGUUAAUGUUUGAGAUUCCAGAACAACACAUUCAUAUCAAUCUGUUUUCAUAGCUGUUGAAUUAACAAAUAUUCUACAAACCAGAAUUUUGAUCACUUGAAGUCAGGUUAAAUGAAAUAGCAGACCCUGUAGAAACAUAUAACUUGGAAAAUAUUUACUUUAUAAUAGUAAAUGACAUGGUAGCACUCAGAAAGCACCUUCUCAGGUAUGUUCAAGUUGUGCUUGGCCCAGUUACUGAAAUUAAAAGAUAUGAAUUCUACAUCUAGAUUUAACACUAACUUAUUUGAUGUUGCUUUAA